AUGGCUCAGGACGAACGCUGGCGGCGUGCUUAACACAUGCAAGUCGAACGAUGAAGCCCUUCGGGGUGGAUUAGUGGCGAACGGGUGAGUAACACGUGGGCAAUCUGCCCUGCACUCUGGGACAAGCCCUGGAAACGGGGUCUAAUACCGGAUAUCACUCUUGCAGGCAUCUGUGAGGGUCGAAAGCUCCGGCGGUGCAGGAUGAGCCCGCGGCCUAUCAGCUUGUUGGUGAGGUAAUGGCUCACCAAGGCGACGACGGGUAGCCGGCCUGAGAGGGCGACCGGCCACACUGGGACUGAGACACGGCCCAGACUCCUACGGGAGGCAGCAGUGGGGAAUAUUGCACAAUGGGCGAAAGCCUGAUGCAGCGACGCCGCGUG
rnacentral:rRNA from 1 species